rnacentral:rRNA from 1 species
CUGGCAGAAAAUGGCACAAUCAUGAUUCAGUUUGGUCAGCAAGUGCCUAACUGCGAGUCCUCAGCUAGCGAUUCUCCUCAAGAAGUGUCCGGAAUGAGCGAAGGGAGCUUUAAUGAGCAGAAUGAUCAAUCUGGUAAUCGCGAUGGCUAUACGAAGAGUAGUGAUGAAGGCAAGAUGAUGUCGGCUUUGUCUCUGGGCAAUUCAGAAAUGGCAUACACACCGCCAAAACCUGACCGCACUCAUCCCUUUGCCAUAUCAUACCCAUAUGCUGAUCCUUACUAUGGUGGUGCAGUGGCAGCCUAUGGCGCACAUGCUAUUAUGCACCCCCAGAUGGUGGGCAUGGUACCAUCCUCUCGAGUGCCACUACCGAUUGAACCAGCUGCCGCCGAAGAGCCCAUUUAUGUGAAUGCGAAGCAAUACCAUGCCAUUCUCCGAAGGAGACAGCUCCGCGCAAAAUUAGAGGCUGAAAAUAAGCUGGUCAAAAGCCGUAAGCCGUACCUGCAUGAGUCCCGGCACCAGCACGCGAUGAAGCGGGCUCGGGGAACAGGCGGGCGGUUCCUCAACGCAAAGGAGAAGUCUGAAGCUUCAGGCGGCGGCAAUGCAUCAGCGAGGUCUGGCCACGCCGGCGUUCCCCCGGAUGGCGGCAUGUUCUCGAAGCACGACCACACCUUACCAUCCGGUGACUUCCAUUACCGCGCGAGAGGGGGCGCCUAG